rnacentral:sRNA from 1 species
AUUGCAACCUUGGGAAAUCAAGCCCCUCUUAAUCUACAGAAUCAGUACAGCAUGAGCAGGAAUAGCAUCAUCUUUAUUAUGCUGCCCCACAAAUAUGCCUCAACCCUGACCUGGAGGGACCAGCACUAAGGAUAAAAAGACAAUUCAUUUGUUUUUGUCCAUCUACACUUCAGCAGUC